rnacentral:lncRNA from 1 species
CUCAGCUUCCGGAGCAGCUGGGACUGCUGGCGCCCGCCACUACGCUCGGCUAAUUUUUUUGUGUUUUUAGUAGAGACGGGCUUUCACCGUGUUGGCCUAGCGGUUCUCCAACUCCUGACCUCAUGAUCCCCCCGCCUCAGCCUCCCAAAGUGCUGGGAUUACAAGCGUGAGCCACCGCGACCCGCCAACACUCUUGACAACAGUGCUGUGCUAAGAACUUGGGGGACUUCAAAAAGUUCACCAGUUCCUGUGUCCAUGGGUGAAAAGAUUUUCUACAUCUUUCCUUGACUAGAAACAGAAGUCCUGAAACAAGGUACACCUUCUUGAGGCUUACUUGAAUAUAACGUCAGGAGGCCAGAGGCUUUGUCCUGCCUAAUGUGUUAUUUCCACACUGAAUAAAAGCACCUGAGUCCUGGUUCUGGAGAUUGGGGCAUGAUAUCUUCCUUGGGCCAUUACUUGUCCUGCCACUUGGAAUAGGUGCUUAUAAGCCACCUCUAAGAUAAUGAAUAACUUGCAAUUUGAUCCGUGAUUUACAUAACGUGUAUGUUUUUCCUGUUUGCAAAGGCAUAUGGCAAGGGAGUAAAGCCAAACUUUUUACCACAUGGCAAAAAUAAUUGUAUUUUGCAACAGACUAAAAGCUUAAUGCUAUACAGACUUUGGGUUGGUGGAGUUACUUGAGGAUUUACUCCAGCAAAACAAAAAAAAGAAUGAAAGAAAGAGAAAGAUAAAAAUAUGAAAGAAGCAACAGACCUAUUCCAGAAAUGUAAUGAAAAAAGGCCACGAAGUUUGACAACUAUGUAUUAAAUUUACAAUCAGUCCAAAUUAGACUGGUAGUCAGAUUGAUAUGAGAAGUACAUUUUCAAAAAGAUGUACUAUACCAAAUAAUAUGAGUGCAAAACUCUGGAUGAUUUUAGUAAUAAUGUGAAGACACAUAUUUCUUUUGACAAUUAAAAAAAAGAAAAUGAAUUGGAAACUUCAGGAAACGUCAGAAAAUACAAAAUGCUCUGUAGGAAGUAAUUGUCUAAAUGAGAGGUGAAGCCAGUGGGACUUCCUGGAUUGGAUGGGGACUUGGAGAACUUUUCUGUCUAGCUAAAGGAUUGUAAACACACCAAUCAGUGCUCUGUGUCUAGCUAAAGGAUCGCAAAUGCACCAAUCAGCACUCUGUAAAAAUUCUGUGUCUAGCUAAAGGUUUGUAAAUGCACCAAUCAGCAAUCUGUUAGAAUGCACCAAUCAGUGCUCUGUGUCUAGCUAAAGGUUUGUAGAUGCACCAAUCAGCACUCUGUAAAAACGCAUCAAUCAGCGUUCUGUGUCUAGCUAAAGGUUUGUAGACACAUCAAUCAGCACUCAGUAAAAACGCACCAAUCAGCACUCUGUAAAAUGGACCAGUCAGCGCUCUGUAAAAUGGACCAAUCAGCAGGAUGUGGGCGGAGCCAAUAAGGGAAUAAAAGCUGGCCACCAGAGCCAGCCAGUGGCAACCUGCUUGGGUCCCCUUCCA